rnacentral:rRNA from 1 species
AUGGAGGAGAAUAGUUUUUCUGUCAGUGAACAUAUACUCAGAAUGUCUGGUUACCACAACCACUUGACUCAACUGGGAGUUAAUAUUCUUGAUGAUAGUGUCAUUGACAGAGUUCUUCAAUCACUGCCACCAAGCUACAAGAGCUUUGUGAUGAACUAUAAUAUGCAAGGGAUGGAUAAGACGAUUCCUGAGCUCUUAGCAAUGCUAAAGGCUGCGGAGGUAGAAAUCAAGAAGGAGCAUCAAGUGUUGAUGAUCAACAAGACCACCAGUUUCAAGAAAAAGGGUACAGGGAAGAAGGGGAACUUCAAAAAGAACAGGAAGCCAGUUGCUGCUCAAGUGAAGAAACCCAAGUCUGGACCUAAGACUGAGACCGAGUGCUUCUACUGCAAAGGAACUGGUCAUUGGAAGCGGAACUGCCCCAAGUAUUUGGCGGAGAAGGAUGGCAAAGUGAAAGGUAUAUUUGAUAUACAUGUUAUCGAUGUGUACCUUACUAAUGCUCGUAGUAGUGCCUGGGUAUUUGAUACUGGUUCAGUUGCUAACAUUUGCAACUCAAAACAGGGGCUACGGAUUAAGGGAAGAUUGGCUAAGGACGAGGUGACGAUGCACAUGGGAAAUGGUUCCAAAGUCGAUGUGAUCAUCGUCAGGACGCUACCUCUACAUCUACCUUCGUUAGUUUUAGACCUAAAUAAUUGUUAUUUGGUGCCAACGUUGAGCAUGAACAUUAUAUCUGGAUCUUGUUUGAUGCGAGACGGUUAUUUAUUUAAAUCAGAGAAUAAUAUCUUUUAUGGUCAUGCACCCUUGAUGAGUGGUCUAUUUUUACUAAAUCUUGAUAGUAGUGAUACACAUGUUCAUAGUAAGGAAGGCAAAAGAUGCAGAGUUGAUAAUGAUAGUGCAAAUUAUUUGUGA